UGGGGAAUAUUGCACAAUGGGCGCAAGCCUGAUGCAGCCAUGCCGCGUGUGUGAAGAGGGCCUUCGGGUUGUAAAGCACUUUCAGCGGGGAGGAAGGCGGUGAGGUUAAUAACCUCACCGAUUGACGUUACCCGCAGAAGAAGCACCGGCUAACUCCGUGCCAGCAGCCGCGGUAAUACGGAGGGUGCAAGCGUUAAUCGGAAUUACUGGGCGUAAAGCGCACGCAGGCGGUCUGUCAAGUCGGAUGUGAAAUCCCCGGGCUCAACCUGGGAACUGCAUUCGAAACUGGCAGGCUAGAGUCUUGUAGAGGGGGGUAGAAUUCCAGGUGUAGCGGUGAAAUGCGUAGAGAUCUGGAGGAAUACCGGUGGCGAAGGCGGCCCCCUGGACAAAGACUGACGCUCAGGUGCGAAAGCGUGGGGAGCAAACAGG
rnacentral:rRNA from 1 species